rnacentral:lncRNA from 1 species
GGCAACGAGGUACAGACAUCGACCGCAUCACGCAGCCUCUUCUCUCGAGCAGCAGCCCUCGGAGCACCACGCACCCAGCCACCAUGAUCAAGGUUCUGGUCCUCCUUGCCAUGCUGGCUUUGUUCGCUGUCUCCUACACUGUGGCAGCGCCACAGUACUACGUCGCAGACAGCCUGUACUACGGCUACCCGUACGCGGGUUACUAUGGCGCCUACUACCCGCACUACUACUACGGGCGCUAAGCUCGAUCCACAACGACAGUUCACGGUAACAUUUUCUUCGAAAGCCACCUCAACCUCACCUCGCUAACGCAUCCCACUGUACACUGCCACUGGCACCUGUGAAGGACUGCCUCUUCUUCCCGGCAUGUUCAACUUCGAGCCGCACUUGCUCAAUGAGCUGUCGUCCUGCGUUUCCCGAGAACCCAGCGAUGUCCGCUGUUCUAACAUUGGGCUUCCUUCUUUCUGGUAACUUGGUUCUAAAAUAAAAGCCAUUCUAACCAGA